rnacentral:rRNA from 1 species
UGGAAACGGGUGGUAAUACCGGAUGCUCCGCAUCAUCGCAUGAUGGUGUGGGAAAGGUUUACCGGCAUGGGAUGGGGUAGCGUCCUAUCAGCUUGUUGGCGGGGUGAUGGCCUGCCAAGGCUUCGACGGGUAGCCGGCCUGAGAGGGCGACCGGCCACAUUGGGACUGAGAUACGGCCCAUUACUCCUACGGGAGGCAGCAGUGGGGAAUAUUGCACAAUGGGCGCAAGCCUGAUGCAGCGACGCCGCGUGCGGGAUGACGGCCUUCGGGUUGUAAACCGCUUUUGAUUGGGAGCAAGCGAGAGUGAGUGUACCUUUCGAAUAAGCACCGGCUAACUACGUGCCAGCAGCCGCGGUAAUACGUAGGGUGCAAGCGUUAUCCGGAUUUAUUGGGCGUAAAGAGCUCGUAGGCGGUUCGUCGCGUCUGGUGUGAAAGUCCAUCGCUUAACGGUGGAUCGGCGCCGGGUACGGGCGGACUGGAGUGCGGUAGGGGAGACUGGAAUUCCCGGUGUAACGGUGGAAUGUGUAGAUAUCGGGAAGAACACCGAUGGCGAAGGCAGGUCUCUGGGCCGUCACUGACGCUGAGGAGCGAAAGCGUGGGGAGCGAACAGGAUUAGAUACCCUGGUAGUCCACGCCGUAAACGGUGGAUGCUGGAUGUGGGGCCCGUUCCACGGGUUCCGUGUCGGAGCUAACGCGUUAAGCAUCCCGCCUGGGGAGUACGGCCGCAAGGCUAAAACUCAAAGAAAUUGACGGGGGCCCGCACAAGCGGCGGAGCAUGCGGAUUAAUUCGAUGCAACGCGAAGAACCUUACCUGGGCUUGACAUGUGCCGGACGGCCGCGGAGACGCGGCUUCCCUUCGGGGCCGGUUCACAGGUGGUGCAUGGUCGUCGUCAGCUCGUGUCGUGAGAUGUUGGGUCAAGUCCCGCAACGAGCGCAACCCUCGCCUCGUGUUGCCAGCACGUUAUGGUGGGAACUCACGGGGGACCGCCGGGGUUAACCCGGAGGAAGGUGGGGAUGACGUCAGAUAAUCAUGCCCCUUACUUCCAGGGCUUCACGCAUGNUACAAUGGCCGGUACAACGGGAUGCGACAUGGUGACAUGGAGCGGAUCCCUGAAAACCGGUCUCAGUUCGGAUCGGAGCCUGCAU